GAAAAUAGUUUUGGGAGACUAAAAAUAUAUAGAGAGAAAUGAAGAACUUCGCAGUCACCUUCAUGCUCUGCCUUGCCGUUCUUCUAUCUUUAUUCGCCCCUUCUCUUGGGCAAGCGUUGAAAUAUUGUCCGGCUCCAGCUAUUCCGAGAAAAGGUGCAUGCGCUAAAAAUGGGCAAAGUGAGUGUGUUGUAUAUGUUUUGGGGGCUUAUCCAGCAAGCAAAAUGCCCACUAAAAUUCGUUGUGUUGAUGUAGGAAAAAAUCAGAGCAAAUGCACUAGUCAGAUUCUUUGUUAGUCUUGAAAUAUUGAGGAAUUAAUUGGAAGAAUAAUGUUAUGUAUUUAUUUUAUUUGAACUUUUGAAUAAUGGAUUUCGUUUUUUUAGCAUA